rnacentral:rRNA from 1 species
GCUAAGAAUAUUCCGCAAUGGACGAAAGUCUGACGGAGCGACGCCGCGUGGAUGAAGAAGGCCGAAAGGUUGUAAAGUUCUUUUGUUGGGGAAGAAUAACCAUGGGAGGGAAUGCCCGUGGGAUGACAUGAACCGACGAAUAAGCCCCGGCUAACUACGUGCCAGCAGCCGCGGUAACACGUAGGGGGCGAGCGUUGUUCGGAAUUACUGGGCGUAAAGGGCAUGUAGGCGGUCUUGUAAGCUUGGCGUGAAAGACGACGGCUCAACCGUGGGAUUGCGUUGAGAACUGCGAGGCUUGAGUGACGGAGAGGGAGCUAGAAUUCCUGGUGUAGGGGUGGAAUCUGUAGAGAUCAGGAAGAAUACCAAUGGCGAAGGCAAGCUCCUGGCCGAUGACUGACGCUGAGGUGCGAAAGUGUGGGGAUCAAACAGGAUUAGAAACCCGAGUAGUCC